UACGGAGGAUGCGAGCGUUAUCCGGAUUUAUUGGGUUUAAAGGGUGCGCAGGCGGCCUGUUAAGUCAGCGGUCAAAGCCCGGGGCUCAACCCCGGCCCGCCGUUGAAACUGGCAGUCUCGAGUUGGAGAGAAGUAUGCGGAAUGCGCGGUGUAGCGGUGAAAUGCGUAGAUAUUAGGAGGAACACCAGUGGCGAAGGCGGCCUGCUGGACGACAACUGACGGUGAGGCGCGAAAGCGUGGGGAGCAAACAGG
rnacentral:rRNA from 1 species